CGCACGGCUCCUCUCCGUCUCCUCCCUCACCCCCACGUGUGGUUCCGCUUCCCGCUGGCCACGAGGUGCAGCCUUGCAGGGGCGCAUCGGGCUGGGCCUCUGUUUCCGGUUAGUUCAUCCCCCUCCUCCUCCUCUCCGAUCUGCUCUGGUUCUCACCCUCUCCUCUUCUUCCUUCUCUCUCAGAUAUGGUGCAACAGCUGCUGUGGGGUUGAGGUGUUCUAGCGACGGUAGGAGCUCCGGGCCCGUCCAGGUUAACCUAUCUCUCUCUCUCUCUCCUGAUUUCGUAGCCCUCAUGUGCUUGCUUGCUUUUUGCUCUGAGUUGUGGCUGUCCAGAUUAGCUAGGGUUCAAGCUUUGGCAGCCUAUAUGGUGGUCACUAUUCUUGUCAUGUGCUUUAACUCUACAACCUAGCUUGGGUUCCCUCAUGUGCUUGCUGGUCUGCCUGUCUAAUUAGGCUUAGGUCUGUCCAGUGCUCCAUCUAUGCUGAUUUUCAGAAACUGUUGCCCAGAGAGAUCUCCAUGAAGCAUUGCACCUGAUGCAGAUGUCAAAGUAUUCAAUCUACUAUGAUGACCACCAGCGGUGUAGUCUUGGUACAUAUACUGCAUCCUGAGAGAUAAAGCAGCAAGGACUAGCAGCAUGGAUGUGAAAUAUGGUCAUGCUCUUAACCUGAUCUCCAGAAAGAUUCAAACUACUCUCCUGUGAGGAUUUGUUCUGCUAUACAUUUUCCUUUCAUUUCCCAUCCAGGUUGUGUUCAAAUGAUAGGUGGCAUUGCAAAUUAUGACCAAUUUAAAUGUUGUUUAGUGAGCCUCCAUCCGCCAAUUGGAAAUAAACUGAGGGACCUGAAGUUUCA